rnacentral:rRNA from 1 species
CCUACUGGUGGCAGCAGUGAGGAAUAUUGGUCCAUGGCCGGGAGGCUGAACCAGCCAAGUCGCGUGAGGGAAGACGGCCCUACGGGUUGUCAACCUCUUUUGUCAGGGAGCAAGGUGCAGGUCGGGACCUGCUGUGAGAGUACCUGAAGAAAAAGCAUCGGCUAACUCCGUGCCAGCAGCCCCGGUAAUACGGAGGAUGCGAACGUUCUCCGGAUUUAUUGGGUUUAAAGGGUGCGCAGGCGGAGGCACAAGUCAGCGGUAAAAUCUCGGGGCUCAACCCCGCUCCGCCGGUGAAACUGUGUCCCUUGAGUGCGCGAAGGGUAGGCGGAAGGCGUGGUGUAGCGGUGAAAGGCAUAGAGAUCACGCAGAACUCCGAUCGCGAAGGCAGCCUACCGGCGCGCAAAUGACGCUCAUGCACGAAAGCGUGGGUAUCGAACAGGAGUAGAUACCCGGGUAGUC